rnacentral:rRNA from 1 species
GACGAACGCUGGCGGCGUGCUUAACACAUGCAAGUCGAACGAUGAACCCGGAGCUUGCUCCGGUGGAUUAGUGGCGAACGGGUGAGCAACACGUGAGUAACCUGCCCUUGACUCUGGGAUAACUGCGGGAAACUGUAGCUAAUACCGGAUACGACCCUCGGCGGCAUCGCCAGGGGGUGGAAAGAAUUUCGGUCAAGGAUGGACUCGCGGCCUAUCAGCUAGCUGGUGAGGGAACGGCUCACCAAGGCGACGACGGGUAGCCGGCCUGAGAGGGCGACCGGCCACACUGGGACUGAGACACGGCCCAGACUCCUACGGGAGGCAGCAGUGGGGAAUAUUGCACAAUGGGCGCAAGCCUGGUGCAGCAACGCCGCGUGAGGGAUGACGGCCUUCGGGUUGUAAACCUCUUUUAGUAGGGAAGAAGCGAAAGUGACGGUACCUGCAGAAAAAGCACUGGCUAACUACGUGCCAGCAGCCGCGGUAA